GUGGGUACAGCUCAGUGGUGGGGCACAUGCUUAGCACGCUUGAGUCCCAGGUUCAAUCCCCAGUACCUCCA
rnacentral:tRNA from 1 species